AACUAAUUCUCAGGAAUGAAUGUCACAGUCUUCGGCGUCACCCUCAGGCUGGGGAGCAGGUCCCUGGCUCGUAGCCCCAACCCUCAGGCCGGGGAGCAGGUCCCUGGCUCAGUAGCCCCAACCCUCAGGCCGGGGAGCAGGUCCCUGGCUCGUCGCCCCAACCCUCAGGCUGGGGUGCAGGUCCCUGACUCGUAGCCCCAACCCUCAGGCCGGGGAGUAGGUCCCUGGCUCGUAGCCCCAACCCUCAGGCCGGGGAGCAGGUCCCUGGCUCGUAGCCCCAACCCUCAGGCCGGGGAGCAGGUCCCUGACUCGUAGCCCCAACCCUCAGGCCGGAGAGCAGGUCCCUGGCUCGUAGCCCCAACCCUCAGGCCGGGGAGCAGGUCCCUGGCUCGUCGCCCCAACCCAGCUCCCCGCGGGCACUCGGCGUUCCACGAGUGCAUACUGCUGCCCCCAGCUGUCUUUUCUCUAGUUUGUUGUUUACUUCAGUACUUUUAUAUUUUCAAAUAUUGUUUUGGAUAUUCCUCGAAAGAUUUUCAUUUUACACCGAGUCCACAGUAUAUUUGUCUCACUGAAGAGUCAUUGACUUAACGAGAAACAGGAAUUGAUGUGGAAGUGGUUUGGCCGGCCAGCGCGAGUACGAGGCUCAGGCCUC